CAAUACUCGAGAGUGGCGAACGGGUGAGUAAUAUAUCGGAACGUGCCCAGUCGUGGGGGAUAACGUAGAGAAAUUUACGCUAAUACCGCAUACGAUCUAAGGAUGAAAGCGGGGGAUUCGCAAGAACCUCGCGCGAUUGGAGCGGCUGAUAUCAGAUUAGGUUGUUGGUGAGGUAAAAGCUCACCAAGCCGACGAUCUGUAGCUGGUUUGAGAGAACGACCAGCCACACUGGGACUGAGACACGGCCCAGACUCCUACGGGAGGCAGCAGUGGGGAAUUUUGGACAAUGGGCGAAAGCCUGAUCCAGCAAUGCCGCGUGCAGGAAGAAGGCCUUCGGGUUGUAAACUGCUUUUGUACGGAACGAAAAGGCUCUUUCUAAUAAAGAGGGCCCAUGACGGUACCGUAAGAAUAAGCACCGGCUAACUACGUGCCAGCAGCCGCGGUAAUACGGAG
rnacentral:rRNA from 1 species